rnacentral:antisense_RNA from 1 species
CAGUAAUGACCAGACACAUCACACCCGCCUUCUAGAAGCCCUCCCUCACAAACCGGAUCAACUGCUAUGAUAAAGCUAAGAGGCAACAUACAUGGCUGGACAGUGAGAUUGUGUUAAUGUGGAUUAUUCCUCAACAAAUAUGCAUUCUUCUCCUCUCCCAUUGUGAAUAGAGUAUAAGUACUUACCCAUUGAUGUUGAGCUUAGUAACAUGACUUCCUUUGGAAUGUUAGUGGAAGGAAUAAGCAGAAACCUUUUAUUUGCUUGAAUAGUUUGGUUUCCUUCUUUUCAUGAUUUGCCAUGAGAAGAACCCACCCAGGUAAUCACUGCUUGCUCAGAUCCCAGCAAAUUCUAGAUCCCAGAACUAGUGCUCUUAGAGCCAAGGCCAGCCGAUCCAAGUCUGGACCACUGCUCAGAUGAGCCAAGCCUGAAUUUGGGAGUGGUCGCGUUACAGAGCAUUACCCUGGCAAUAACUGACUGAUGCAGAGAUGUAAAUAGACAUCACUGGUGGAGCCCCCAGGAAAGCUCUUUAACAGAAGACAGACUCAGCUGGCAGGUUUUUUGCCCCUUUCCCUUCUCUUCCCUUGAAUGAAGACAGGCUCAAUGCUUGGAGGGGUGAGAGGAGGCAGCCGUCUUACAACCACAGGUCACAGGAAGACACUAAACAAGGCCGUGUGGAAAGACAGAAGGAGCCUCCAUCCCUCAGCACCACAGAGAC